rnacentral:rRNA from 1 species
AUUCCAGCUCCAAUAGCGUAUAUUAAUGUUGUUGCAGUUAAAAAGCUCGUAGUUGAAUUUCUGGUUAAAAUCUUAGCUGGCUUUGGUCGUUAAUGUUUUAAUCAUCCGUUAGAGAACUAUAACCGUCCUUAACUGGUCAUUAUAGAGAUCUAACAUUUUACUUUGAAAAAAUUAGAGUGUUCAAGGCAGGCAAUCGUCAUGAAUACUAUAGCAUGGAAUAAUGGAAUAGGACUUUGGUUCAUUUUGUUGGUUAUUGAACCUUAGUAAUGAUUAACAGGGACAGUUGGGGGCAUUAGUAUUUAAUUGUCAGAGGUGAAAUUCUUGGAUUUAUUAAAGACUAACUUAUGCGAAAGCAUUUGCCAAGGAUGUUUUCAUCA